GUGUAACUCUUGAUAGACACUUCAUAGCAUACUUAUGGUUUUUGGUCUAUAUGCAGCUAGAAAUAUUAUAUUAUCAUCUGAUGCAUUCAUUUCUUGUUUUAUCUUUGCAUACACGGAUUUCGAGCUUCUUGCUCAGGAGACAGUGACGACAAGGAAGCUUGUGUUGGUUUGGGGGACGGUGACAACAAGAAAGUUCCCUACGCUGGUAUGGGAAACGUUGAGCAAAACUUAAUUGCUUCUGCUAGCGGCAUGGCAGGGGGGAUGUGGUGCGAGUGAAAUGCCGACGGAGGCCACCACAGUCGUGCCCGGGGAUACGGCACCUAUCUCAAAGAUGAUGUGAUCUGCACGCUUGCGACAUCCUGCACCGUCUACUAGGACUCCGUACAUGAGGAAGAUUGCAAAGAAAGUGAAAAAAUAAGGGAGCAAUUCUUUUUUGUUUUGGCAACUUCGACAAUACAAUUGCAUUCGAAAACUUAAAUGCCAUGAAAUUUGGAACCUGAUGUAUAAUUGCACUUAUUGAGCUCGUAUUAAAUGCAAUUAAACUCUACUCUGAUACAGUAUAUAAUACAAAUGGAUUGAAU